AUGGAAGGAAUAAUGGAUGCAGAAGGUGUGGAACUAGAGGUCCUUGUUGGCCUUAGUUCACGACUAUGUAAUGCCAUUCCUGAAGACUUUGAGCGAGAGCUUGAGCAUGGUCCGAAUAAGGAAAGAUUUAUAAAGAGACUUGUCUCUGCACUUAACUCAAAUAUGACACCCACUGCUCAUUGCCCUGGCAUCAGGAGGGUGAUAGUUGAACAUGCCAUAUACAUGAUGGAAUUCAUUCCUGUCUACACUAGCUGUUUCAAGAACUGUCGGAUGAUGGAAGCACUGCUGAUGGUAGGGUGUACACCUUCAAGGGCUGAAAAGUACAGGUUCUUCUCGGGUGAUGCAGGACUCAUGGAGCACAGCAUACCUCUAUCCACACUUGUGGCUAGAGCAAAAGAACUGAUGGACCAUGAGUAG
rnacentral:rRNA from 1 species